rnacentral:lncRNA from 1 species
GGGAUCUAGCCAGCUGCCUGCGGUUGUGUACCCAAUUCCUUGUACAUUGGAAAGGUCCUCUCCUGUCCUCACUUGGUUAGAAUACAACCAAAUGGAUCCAUUUGACGACUUGCAAGAGUAACAGCUAGCCUGAAUUCAGCACCUUAUCCAAAAUAUUGAUAAGCACUCACCAAAGAAAAGACUGACUUUGAGCCUACAAUGGCCCUCUUUCAUUGACUGAGAGAUCUUCUCUGGUGGCCUAGGUGGUUCUCAAGAAAAUAUGUUUGGGUCAUGAAAAUGGAGGAAUGGUACUGGGAAGCUUGGGAGCGAGUGCAUGUGAGUAUCUUCUUAUUCGAUGUGAUUACAAAAUUGUCUUACAUAUGUUUGAUGAGUUUAUGAGAGAGUUCCAGAAAUUUAUCUUGGACACCCAGAUGAGCUAAUGGGAAACCAACUGUCGGUGGGAAAUGUUGCUAUCUUAUGAGGUUGGGCAGAGUUCAUUUCAUGUUGGGAACUCUGGGCAUCUCAUGGAUGAACAGAGUAGGAGGAAGAAAGUACUUGUCUGUUGUCCCCAUAACAUUCCCUCCUCUUUUUUUCUCCUCCCUACUCCUGGCUCCAGUAUUUUCUCCUGGAGAACUGCUGGCUGUCUGCAGACUUGUCUCCUUGGGAAGCUACACAAGCCCUGUAGACAGACAGACAGACACACACACACACACACACACACACACACAGUUCUUAAGUAAGACAUGAUCGUUCUUUUCUUUAAUAAAAAGAAGAAAGACUUCUCUGAUAAUAAAGGAAAUUUUCUCUGGGUCACUGGAGGUCAAAACAGUGUGGACCGGCUGCCCUCUGCCACUCAAAGCAACAGGUUGGGUGAGGAAAACACUGGAACUGAAUGUUAUCUUUCCCUACUAGUGGCCCCAACUCUCAUUCCAGCCCUCCCUCCACACCCCAGGAUCCUCUGGGCAGUGGGGGAUCAUGCGGAGGACUUCUGUUGAAAGGUACCGGUUAGCUUGCACACAGGAAAAGCUGGUCUCAGAGCUGUAAACUGCUCCAUUCUCUGCUAAGCUCACACUUCCCUUCCUCUCCACUCUGUCCUCAUGAGAGAUGUCCCCUAAUCUUGUAAAGAACCCCUACCUCAUUCAAAGAUGACAUCCUUUCUGCUGAGAUGUGCAAUGGAGGGGACUUGGUUCCCCUAGUACCAAACCCUGGUAAGACCUUCAAGACUUUUUCAAGCCUUUCCACCGAGGUUCGUUGCCAACCUGUUAUCCUGG